rnacentral:lncRNA from 1 species
CUCAAAAUUGAGCUUAUAGUGCACCAACAUAAAAACAAUCUUGAACAAAAAUUAAGAUAAGAGGAAAUUCUAUUUUUUUUUUCUCCUCAUACAUAUACAAUGUUCAAUAUUUCAUAGGUAUAUUGGAGUAAAUGAUAGGGCUUGUUUUCACAUUUGUGAGAUGAGUUAAGAUAAAGAUACUUAAGACUUUUAGCUACGGUAUACGUCAUAGUCCAUAGCCGGCAUAAGUUUUUAUACAGAUAAUAACUUUUAAAUUUCGCGCGUUUCAUACAAAAGGGGAGAAAUAACAUAAAACCCCUAUUUCCCUUUAGCUAAAAUAAAAUCGUUAAGACCGGAUCGAAAGAUCAAAAUCGGUCCGCACAGAGAGCUUCAUUAGGAGUGUGAAGGCAAAAGAUACACGCGAAUUCUCCUUAUAGCAUCCGGCAAAUGGCCAGGGACCUCAGCAAUUUCAUCAACAAUAGAAGAUGACACUUCUUGUAAUGCUAUUUUUCCAGAGGUAAAACAUCUAAAGGAAAUAAAUACCAACAUACAAAUCCAACUU